UCCAAGCUCCAAUCCGUCUCCGCUAUGCCCUAGACCUGCCGCCGCGCGCCGUCGCCUCACGCCCCAAACCAAACCCCUACUCCGCCUCCCACGCGCGCCGCCGCCACCGUUCUAACUCGUCGCGUCCCGCCGUCUUCAACCCCGUCCGAAUCCUGGACAUUGGUUUCUAAAGGCCACCAUGUCAGGAAGAGAUCGCCUGCCGCGCCGUUUCGUCGAGGAUGGCAGGGGCUACGUUGACGCCCGUGUGCUCGAGGAUCAUCGCAGGGGCCAUCAUCCCGGUAUCCGUGUGGUGGAUGAUCGCAGGGGCCAUCCUGAGAUCCGUCUAGUCGAUGACCGCAGAGGCUAUCCUGCAGUCCGCGUGAUCGAGGAUCGCAGAGUCUAUCCUGCAGUUCACGAAAGGCCCGUCAUGAGGAUGGCUCCUCGCCCUCACCCUCACCCAGCUGUUAUGGAGGAAGAAAUCGAGUUGCACGAGGUCGAGUUCCGGAGGCUUAUGGCUGACCGUCACGCUCUAGGUGAGGAGCGGAUGGAGUUGCACAGGGAGUUGCAGGCUAACAAAGAGGAGGUCCGUCACUUGAACAUGAUCAUCGCCGAGAUUAAUGGCAAGAAGGAAGCUUAUAUUGCCGAGCUCGUGGACAAGAGGAGGAAGCUUGAAGCCGAACUUAGAGCAAAUGAGCCUCUCAGAGAUGAGGUUGCGCAUCUUCGUGGCGAGGUAGAGAAGCUCCUUGCUAUCAGGAAAGAUCUCUCUGCAAAGGCUGCUUCAAUCAUGCAGGAGCUGAAUAGGGAUAGAUCUGAUACAAAACAGUUACCUAUGCUGAAAGCAGAGAUUGAUGGCCUUCAGCAGGACCUUACUCAUACAAGGAAUGCAUGUGAAUCAGAGCAGAAGGUGAAUUUUGAGCUGGUGGAACAAAAGAAAGCAAUGGAAAAGAGUAUGAUGUCCAUGGCACAGGAAAUUCAACAAAUGCGGGCCGAGUUGGCUAAUUUGGAUGGGAGACCAUGGGGCACAGGUGGAUCAUAUGGGAUGAAGUUGGGUAGUCCUGAAGCGGCUUUCCCUACUCAAUACGGAGAUAAAUACAAUAUCCAUGCGGGAGUUUCUGACAAAGGUCCUUCGCAUCCUCCUGAAUCUUCGUGGGGCGCAUAUGACAAGACUCGUUUCCAAUACCGCUAAGAUCCCAGCUGCUACAUUCCUGGGAGAAAGAAUCACCUAUUAGGUGUUAAUGAUCAUAUCACAUGGUUCAGAAUAUCUUAUCUACCGACUUGUUUGUGUUGAAAUGUUCAGUUGGUCCUUUUCCUCUGGCGAAGAUAUAUAUCAAUCAUGAGAAGAAAGGAGCAGCUACUGCAAGAAAACAGUAAAUAUGGUAUCUUGAUAAUUGUUGCCUUUCUGAUGCUGAAGGUUCUCUUGCACUUAACUAAUGCAUCUAGAAAUGAGCUCUUCAUUGAAACUAAAACAGCAGACUGUCUAGACAUUCCUGCAAGAGCCAAAGACAUGGAUUACCAUACCAGUUGGAGAUGUGAGAAAUGGUUUAUCCACCAGAAGGAUCAUUAGCAUCUGCCCUAGCAACACUGGAAGGUCUUGAAUGUCAGACCGUGGGUGACUGGGAUGUGGUCUUGGGGGAAGAGCAAACUUGUGUCAUAGAAUUUGUGCCUGUCUGGAAACCUCUGUUCUAAUUUGGAAGUUGAAAAGAGAUUUUGCUGCAAACUGUCUAGGUUACGGCUUACCCAGUUGGUGGGUUGACUUGCGCCAGGCCAUGAUGUUUCCAGGUGUUCAAUUUGGAUGCAGUCACCAGUUUGGCAAGCAGUGGAGCUUAUGGUCAGUAUAUGCUUAAGAUGCCACUAAGUUGUUUCUUCAUACGUGGCAGGACCUUAAAGCAGGAUGUCAGAAUCUCGUUAGGGCUUGUGUUAUGCUGUUUUAUGCAAGCUGGUGAUGAUCCCGCAGUGGUGUCCCUCAGGACCUGCACAUAGACCAAGUUACCAACAUGCCCAUUUGAAUGUUUGACUUAAUGGUAAACAGUGAAAUCCCACAGGACCUGUGCUGAACUGCAUAUGUACCGUUUCAUGGGCGUGAUUUUGCUGUCACAGCCCUGUUGAGUGGUUAUAUUGAAAUGAAGAUCCUGCAAGUAGAGCAUUUCUGGGAUGCCCAGGAAGAUUGUGCGAAGCAUGAAAUUGAUCUUUUUGGGAGUGAUGUAGCACACAAUUGCUAGAAGUACAAGAAUUAAGUAUUCCUUCACCACCUAUAUCUGUAUGGUGAAGAAUUAGAACUUUUGGUAUCACAGACAGGUGGAUUACGGCUCAGAAGGUUUCAUAUAAGAAUAGAACCAGAUUUGACUGGUCAUAGGAUGCCCUUGUGCUCCCUGCCAUGCAUCCUCAUCGAAACACCAGCAUUUGGCUUUGUGAACUUUCGCUGGAAGAAGCUUCAGAUAUUACCAGCAAAGAAUUUGAAAUGGAAGUCGUAGUUACCAACCGCUUACAUCCUGCAAAGAGAGUUGACUUGGAUCAAACUCCAUUCCACCGGAUAUCAGUAUCCUUUUAUGUAUAUAUGGUUACUCUCCGUUUUAGUCAUGGCCGUUGAGUCUCAUGUUUGUUGAAUCCCUUGUUGCGGCAAGCAUGAGCAAGCGACUCUAGAGCCGUUUCAGGGAAUACCAACCGCGUCGACAAUACCUUUAGCAAAGAUUUAUAGAUGCACUAGGUAGUUGGGCGAAAAUGUUUUCACAAAGAUUUACCACAUUUGAGUGUCGAAAAAGAUUGUGUGGCGUGGUACUUGCGGAAAUAGCAGGGUCAUAAAAAGAUUGUGCGGUGUGGUACUUGCGUAAAUAGCAGGGUCAUAAAAAGAUUGUGCGGCGUGGUACUUGUGGAAAUAGCAGGGUCAUAAUAUCCUGAUGGGGUCGUAGGUUGCCGACGCCUAGGAAUAAAAUAAGUUUCUAAUCGAAGUACGUGUUCCAUGGAACCUGUGUUGACGCGGUUGCCAUCUGUUGCUGCAUUUACGAUUUACGUUUUCACCGUAGCAUAGCCAGCGAUUUUCUUCACGUUCCUGCAUAAUUGUAUCGUUUCCUUUUGCAAUUCUCCGGAUUGAAACAUAGACUAUUCUGGCAGAUAACUGGGACUACUGGCCAUGAUUUGUUGUUCUUUCGUUUCAAGAACGCGAGAUUAAGAAACCCACCAUUGACAGUUCUUCCAUGACCGGCCGGCCAGCCGGCCAAGCGUUGCUUAAUUUACUCUUCCAUCGUUACACUGAGCUUUCAAAGAUAUCGCAUCGAGCUAGCAUCUGUUGACUGUGCAGGACAUUGUUUCCAACUCCCCAUUGGAGCUACCCCUGAAAUUAAAACUGUCCUCAUCCUUUCUUACACAGCCACACCGCAUCGCAUGGCUCCCUAUAAAUACAGCACCACCCACAGAGCCCAUUGCCAUCCACCAAUCUACCAAAUACACUCGCUGUCAAAGGGCUAACAGGUUUGAAAGUUUCAAUGGAGGCAGGGGCAGUGCCGGCCGAGGGGAAGAGCUCGUGGCCAGAGGUGGUGGGCCUGUCAUCGGAGGAGGCCAAGAAGAAGAUCAUCGAGGACAAGCCGGAGGCCAACGUCCAGGUGGUUCCGGCGGACUCUUUCCUCACCAUGGAUUACAACACCGGCCGAGUCAGGGUGUUCGUCGAUUCCAGCGACAAGGUCACCAAAGCCCCCAGGAUUGGCUAGCUAGCCACCUAGGCUGGUUCAUCCUUACGUUUGUACUGUACGAAUAAAUUAAGACGUAGUUAAUCGUGUGUUACAGUAUGCGCUUGUACUGAUAUGUGGUGUUGACGAUAGCUGUUGCUGUUUGGUUGGUGAUCCGUGGCGUUCCAAGCUGGUGAGUUUUUGCUGGAACAAGUCAGACCCAUUCUCAUGUUCUGCUUAUAAAUUUGGGAUAACUAUUA